CCCGCUGAACUUAAGCAUAUCAAUAAGCGGAGGAAAAGAAACUAACAAGGAUUCCCCUAGUAACUGCGAGUGAAGAGGGAAAAGCUCAAAUUUAAAAUCUGGCAGUCUUUGAUUGUCCGAGUUGUAAUUUAGAGAAGUGUUACCCGUGUUGGCCCGUGUACAAGUUUCCUGGAAUGGAACGUCAUAGAGGGUGAGAAUCCCGUCUUUGACACGGACUACCAAUGCAUUGUGGUAUGCUCUCGAAGAGUUGAGUUGUUUGGGAAUGCAGCUCUAAAUGGGUGGUAAAUUCCAUCUAAAGCUAAAUAUUGGGGAGAGACCGAUAGCGAACAAGUACCGUGAGGGAAAGAUGAAAAGAACUUUGGAAAGAGAGUUAAACAGUACGUGAAAUUGCUGAAAGGGAAACGCUUGAAGUCAGUCGCGUUAGUCGGGGAUCAGCCUUCCUUUUGGUUGGUGUACUUCCUGAUUGACGGGUCAGCAUCAGUUUUGACCGGUGGAUAAGAGCUUGAGGAAUGUGGCAUCUUCGGGUGUGUUAUAGCCUCUUGUUGUAUACAUCGGUUGGGACUGAGGAACUCAGCACGCCGCAAGGCCGGGUUUUUAACCACGUACGUGCUUAGGAUGCUGGCAUAAUGGCUUUAAUCGACCCGUCUUGAAACACGG
rnacentral:rRNA from 1 species